GAGGGUAUGGCUCAGUGGUAGAGCGCAUGCUUAGCAUGCAUGAGGUCCUGGGUUCAAUCCCCAGACUCUCC
rnacentral:tRNA from 1 species